UACGUAGGGUGCGAGCGUUAAUCGGAAUUACUGGGCGUAAAGCGUGCGCAGGCGGUGAUGUAAGACAGAUGUGAAAUCCCCGGCUCAACCUGGGAACUGCAUUUGUGACUGCAUCGCUGGAGUGCGGCAGAGGGGGAUGGAAUUCCGCGUGUAGCAGUGAAAUGCGUAGAUAUCGCUUGGAACGCCGAAGGUGAAGACAGGCUGCUGGGGUUGCGCCGACGCUGAGACACGAAAGCCAGGGGAGCAAACGGG
rnacentral:rRNA from 1 species